UCCUCUGUUAUUGCCCUCUAUCUUCCGGCCGGCUCCUCGAUUCCACUCACGCCAAAAAACUGAAACGCACGCCGUGGUGGGGAAAGAAGGUUCCGAGCGCGCCGUUCUUCUUCUCUCAUUGCAUCUAUCGAUCUCUACAUACUCCGCUAUCUGCCAAGCCUUCGAGGUCUGCCACCACCAGAGAUUUUUUGUUGCUGUCAACCUGGAUCCCCAUGGUCGCCACCGCCGUCGGCUUUGCUGGUCUGCUGCCGUCGGCUUUGCUGGUCUGCUGCCGGCCGGGUGCCGGCGUCCUCUUCCAAAAUCACCUGGAUUAGAGGAUCACAGGUUAUGGCAUAUAUAGUCCAGUUCAUUUUCAGGACGCCUGCAUAAUGUUAGAUAAAUAUAUCGGAAUACACCCUUCAGAUAUGUGAUAGUAAAGCCCAUGAUCAAAUAAUGCACACUGAUCCCAAUUUCAAAGGUUUGUUUUUUAUUUCCUUAAUUUGCCGGCACAUUACAACUUCCAAAUGCCUUAUGGUGUUCAGCUGCAUGUUCUCCCUCCUCAUGCAGUGGUAACUGACAUAGUUUCUCUCCCAUAUAAGCAGUUGAGAUUCUUUCUUCCUGCCGUCUUCACAGAUUAUGGUCCACAAAUUACAAAUUUUCUCAGAUAAUUUACCUUGAUGGGAUGAAUUUGAAGUCUCUGUUGUGGACACCCGUUGUUUGUUGGUGCCGCGUGUGUUAGCUGGGACACAUCUGAAGCCCUUGAAGGAUAGACAAGAUGUGGUGAACCUGAGCCAAUCGUCCCUAUAAGUUGCAUCCCUCUCUGGACCAACUUAUGCUUGGAGCCCCAAACUGGUAUUCUGCUGUGCAGAGACUUUUGUCGUGCAGUACUUUGCACACAAAAGCAGGUGAUAAGGAAUUGAAAUACAAAUUUUCUCAGAUCAUAGAUUGGUGUCAGUCCUGACAAACUCCAUCCUUCUCGGAAAAACAUCGCAGCUCCACCGCACCAAUGUAGAGUGUAUAUCUGGACUGGUCCAUUUUUUAUAUACAAAAUUGCUAGGCUUUUUCUUAACCACAUUGGGCUACUCUGUUUACACUAGGGUGGUAGGGAGUUCUUCACAUGAAUGUGCUUUCGUUAAGAUUGUACUACUUAACUGUCUUUCUUUGUAAUGUUAUAUCUACAGUUCUCUCCGUCGCAAGCGACUCUGCCGCUCCAGUCACCCGUGCCACCCUAUUCGCCCUCUUCUCCUUGGCUGCAGGGCUCUGCCUUGCUCAGGAUCGACCAGCACGUUGCUCUACCGACUGCCCUCCAUUUGCAAUGUCCUAUCAACUCCAAUCUUCCAUUGGCAAAGUACAAGCCAACCUGAUUUGGCGUAUCACCGCAGCCUUCAAUCCGCCUCCACGCGGUCGACUCGCCUCUCAACUUUGUUCAAAACUUGCAUGGACGCUGCAAUCCACCCGCAAACACGCCAUGCUCCAACCACGUGCACCUAUAUCCCAGGCCUUAAAAAUCUUCUCAACAUGUACGUGUGCUGCAGCCAGCAAUCCAAGUCUGUAAGGCUAAUCAAUAUCAGAAUAGAAGCGCUUCGCAAUCCUGGACACCGUCGAGUUUGUCGCCCACCAAACUCAGGCAGGUAACCCCAAACAUUAACACACAUGCUUUGUUCUUGGCUCUACUAUGCCUUUUGUGUAGCAUUGAAGGUCCUUUUUCUCUUAUCAUAAACAGAGGCGAUGUAAUCUCUUUUAAUAUUCUAUCUUUUGUAAGCAUCAAGAUGCAUAAAUUCUUUAUAUUUUAAUGUCAUUCUAUUUUUCAUGGAUUGUAUUAAUACUCAUCCCCUUUUCAGUUUCCAUCAGGACAUUUCCUGCCAAUAUUGCAAUGCAGUUUCGUUGAGAUGGAGAGCUAACUCUCUGUCCUCUGAACUGUUAGAUGAGAGUUCCUGCCAAUCACCAAUGCCUAUUUGAUUUGUUGAAUUUUUGUUUG